rnacentral:lncRNA from 1 species
GACUCUCCCAGCAUGACAACUGGAGAUCUUCUUUCCCUUCCCUCCUAUUCUUUAGGACUUCUUGAAUUCAGACUCCAGUCCUGGGCUCCUGAACAAAUAUUCUGCUUUGGAUUUAGUGUUUUAUUGAUGCAGAUUCCAGCCAACGAGGAAUGGCCUCAUAUGAUGAAUUCCUGGGGCAGGGGUAUGAGUAAAUUUUGCAGUUGCCAGGGUUCAAGAGUCUACCAUGUCUGCUGAGGGUGAUCACCAGGUCCCUGGGGAUGGAGCAGCCUUGCCCUUUUACCAGGUCCUGGGUUCAAAUCUUGGUCCUCUGGCUCAUCUGCCUGAGGAUGGAACAAGAGAGAAUGUGCAGAAUACAGGGCAUCACUCAGGAAUUCCUGACAGUAAGAGGCAACUGCAUUCAUUCUAGGAGCAUAUACUUGGAACUGGAAGGGAACUUGGAGAUCAUUUUACAGAUGAGGAAACUGAAGAGGAAAGUGAAGUGACUUAGCCAAGGUCUUCUGACCCCAAGUUCUAUCCUCUCCUCUAUUUCAAAGGGACUUUACCGAGCCUCUAGCCUGUGGCCUUGUCUACUCCAGGGGUGAUUUCUUAGCUGUAAGAGGACCCGGGUGGAAGAGACCCCGAGCACUGCGCACCUGAGAGUCUGGGGGAGUCUGGGAGACAAAGGGAACACCAGGCAAGACAUACAAAAAAAGACCUUGGGAGUCACAGAGGGAGCCGUGGGAGGCAGGCAGAGGAAGCCAGGUACAGGGAUGAUGCGGAGCUUGGGAGAAGGGUGAGGGGUCCCGUCCCAUCCCAGCUGGGCCAGGCCCUUUCAGAGAGGGAAUGGAGGAUGCCGGCACCAGGGAGACCCAGGGCCCCAUGCAGCCUCCGGGAGGCCCCCCAUCUGUGAACCCCGGGGGCACCCCCAGGGCUGCCAGUUCCGUCCCACCAUCACCGCCUCCCCAACAAACAAACAAACAAAAAACACAUCCAUAGCGGCGGCUGAGAGCCCAGGAACACGCACCAGGUGGUCUGGCCUGGGCGCUGCCUUCCCGUGCAUCCUCCCGGGCAGUGCCCUCGGCCGCCUCCCCCCCUUCCCCGCGGCUCCUGUAAUUGUAACGCCCGGAGGCGAAGGAGAGAUGGAGAGGAAAGACAGAGGAAUGAGAGACAGCCAAAGGGGUGGGAGGAGAGAGCAGGGAGGAGGGAGAGGAGAGGAGGAGGGGGAGGAGGAGGAGGAGGGGACCCAGGCAGCAGGCAGGCAGGCAGGCAGGCAGGGAGGGGAAGGAAGAGGAGGGAGGAGAGAAGGCAGAGCAGCAGCCGGGAGAGCACAGACAAGGAGCCGGGAGCUCAGCUGGGCAGCCAGAGAGGAGGCGCUGCAGACUAGCCGGGCCCCCGACUCGCACACACCGGCCUGGCUGGCCUUAGGCAGCCGCAGCGCCUGA